AAUUUUGAUUAAUGUCAAUGUCAAUGUCAAUUUGAUUUCUUGUCAAUUCGCAAAUUCGAACGAACGGCUCAAACGAUUUCUAAAAAAUGAAAUUAUAUAUUGUUGAAAAAUGCAGCCAUCACCUGUUAGAAGGUACACCUUAACUUCGCGAACACCCCUAUAAAUUUCAAAUGUUUAAAGUCAAACUUAAUGAUUCUGCUUGAACGCCCACUAUCACAAAUUUUCUACAUAAAUAAGAAAAAUCAUGAAAAAAAAGAAUGUAAAACUCACCUUAUAAAAAGCGCAGAAAAGGUCCAUCUCAUAGAUGAAGGGUAAAAGGACAACAGGGAGGUUUAACAAUUCGACUUGCUGUAUAGAUCUGCUCCUAUGUUUUGGAAGAGGUAUUUGCUAACUGAGAUGGCAAAGCCCUGUGUCCGUGAAUAAGUAUUUACACGAAUUUAA